rnacentral:rRNA from 1 species
UACGGGGGGAGCAAGCGUUGUUCGGAUUUACUGGGCGUAAAGGGCGCGUAGGCGGUCAGCACAAUUCCGUUGUGAAAUCUCCGGGCUUAACUCGGAAAGGUCAACUGAUACUGUGCGACUAGAGUGCGGAAGGGGCAACUGGAAUUCUUGGUGUAGCGGUGAAAUGCGUAGAUAUCAAGAGGAACACCUGCGGCGAAGGCGGGUUGCUGGGCCGACACUGACGCUGAGGCGCGAAAGCCAGGGGAGCGAACGGG